ensembl:lncRNA
UUUUCCUUCAACUGACUGUUUUGCCACCUGAUCCCAAUCGUAUUUCCAGUUUCCUGUACAGUGUUACCUUUCUGAUGUUCUUUACAAUGUACAAUAGCCAUGCAAUUGAGAUGUAGAUUUACAUCAUGCUGAAUUUGUCUUCCCUGUGUGUGAGCAAUCCUUGCUCUUUCCAGAUGGUACCAUAAGUGUGUACCACCCCAAAUGCACAUUUACCAUCUGUCCAUAUGUUUAAGGCUAUUUUAGACUUCUUAGUGGAAGUCCCUAGAGGUAACGGUUGUACCUUGUCAGUAGCAAUUACUGCAUAUCCUGCCUUAUGGUUUCUUUGUCUCACUAAACUGCUUCCAUUGAUGAAUUCAGGAAUCCUCAGCAUCAUCCAAUAGUUCCUUCUUUAGGUCUGGUCCACUGGCACAUACAGUCUCCAUGCAGUUGCACACUGCUGGCUCAAAUGUAGCUCUGCGUUGGUGUUCUGGGAGUCCAACAAAUUGCUUCCUUCCUUCUUUAUGAUCAGUUGAGCUUUCUGUUGAGAAACUUGAUAACCAUUUAAUCCAAGGAAUUCAGCAAACUCACAGUCCACUGUACACUGUGUAUAGUUACUGGGCACCCGUAUGCUGCUGUAAAGUUCCACCCUGGGAUGGAGGAACCCAAAUCUCAGGCUCACAAGUUGAUCGGUUCUCAAAAAUCAUUGGGCUGUUCUCACAACUCUGAGAAACACUGUCCAGGUUGACUGCGUCUUUUCUCCCUGUACUGGGGUUUUCUUAUUCAAAGGCAAAUAACAUUAAGCUCCCUUUGGCCAAACCAGACAAAAAGGCAUCCUUCAAAUCCAGAAGGUAAACUCCACCUACUCAUUCCUGAACUUGGUUAAUAAAGUGUAUGGAUUUGCCACCACUGAGUGCAUGCAUUCAACAAUUCUGUUACUUGCCCUCAAGUCUUGUACUGAACUAUAGCACUUGCGAUCUGAUUUUUCAUCUGCAAAAUUGGGAUACUGUAUUUGGAUUCGCAUUCAAUUAGUAAUCCAAACUCCAAACAAUUAUCUAUUAUUUCUUCUAUCCUUCUACAAUCUCAUAUCCUCAAAGGGCACUGCUUUACCCUGACUCGGCCAGCUCCUGCUUUUUAAUUUAACUUCUAUUUGGGGAUGCAUUUUUGGCUCUACCAGGCAUCCGUGAAACCCACACCCCAAAGUGUACCUGAUUUAAGAUUUCUGUUACUUCUGGGACUACAACAUUGUUUUUCCCAGUUUGUGUUAGAGCCAGUCUUAUAAUUUUUGAUCAGUUGAUAUUGUUUGACCCUUAGCUCCAGUUUUAUUGAAUUUAAUCUCUGCAUCUGUAUGUACUAAUUAGUCUUGCCCAAGUAAUGGCUUUGGAGAACCUGGUAUGUACAAGAAUUUAUGUAUUCCUACUUGCUUUCUCAGCCUAUAUUUAAUUGAUCCCAAAAGGUAAGCUUUUUUCUUGUUGGCCAGUAGCUCCUACUACUGUUACAUCUUUGGUUGGUAAGAGGCACCUAUAUCCACCAGAAACUAAACCUCUUUAUCCUGCUCCCCUAGCUGCAAUAUAGCCAGUGGAUCUGCUAGGGUAAACUUCCCAGGUUCCCAUCAUCCAGCUUUUGCGAUCAGAGACCGUUCCUUCUCACUCAGCUUGUUAGGAUUUCUCCACCAAUGUCCCAUUUCCCUGUAGUCUGUGGGGCAGAGCCCUCCCUGGGCUUUUCCAGGCCACCCCCCACCUCUUCCUGAGGGGACCUCUGUGUCCUACAGCCCUAGUUUAGCGCCACAACAGUAGCAGCUGCUGUUGUUCUUCCCAAUCUCCUUACUAUCUCUGUUCCUCAAUCAAUUUUUCCAUAACAGUCACCUCUCUUCAGCCCUUACAUCCCUGUUCACCUUGCUCAUCUUUGCCUUCCUCAGCCUGUGUCUUUCUCAAACCUUUUUCACUUUCCAAACUCUUAUUGUUACAUAAAACUACUAACAUUAUAUUUCAUUUUCAUCUAACACUGAGAUUUUGGUUUCCUAGAUCUCUGCAGAUGAAGACUAUUCUCACUUCCAAUGUCCCGUCUUCUCCACCUCCCCUUCACAAAUAACACUGUUUACAGCAGCAGUCUCUGGCCCUGGCUCUCUUUCUCACUCCAACUUCUGCUCACAGGGAGGGCAGUGCAGGGGGUUGCUUUCAUG